GAUGAACGCUAGCUACAGGCUUAACACAUGCAAGUCGAGGGAGGGGCGCACGGGAGAGUAACACGUAUCCCACCUGCCCUUAGCUCGGGAAUAGCCUUACGAAAGAGCGAUUAAUACCUGAUAUAAAGGACGGGGAUGGGUUACAUUAGGUUGUUGGUGAGGUAAUGGCUUACCAAGCCUUCGAUGGAUAGGGGUUCUGAGUGGCAGCUCCCCCAUAUUGGAACUGAGACCCGGUCCACACUCGUACGGGAGGCUGCAGUGUGUAAUAUUGUGCAAUGGGCGCUAGCCUGAACCAGCCAAGUAGCGUGAAGAAGGAUGGGUUUUGGGUCGUAAUCUUCUUUUAUAUAAGGAUAUGUAUUAUAUGAAUAAGGAUCGGCUAACUCCGUGCCAGCAGCCGCGGUAAUUC
rnacentral:rRNA from 1 species